UGGUUACCCAUGAUGGUAGUUAGUAGUGCUCGUGAUGGUCGCUGAGUACUCUGAGCACCACCACGAAGGGUCAAAUCGCUCCAGGAUUCUUCGGCAGCUUUAAGGUCAGCCGGUGCUGUAGUUUCGGCUCUUAUCUGCUGAAGUUUCAACAAGCCAGACUUCGCGGAUCUGAUAACGCUUCUGACGUUGUGGUACAUCGAUGAACCAGAGCGUCGCGUCCAUCCAACAUCAUUUCGGAUAGCGUGC